CACACAGCAGGGCCCUGGGACUCCACGGCUACCUCCCCACUCUUCUAGAGGGAGCUGUGUCUGAGACCCAGAGGUGCUGGGGCAUGGUGUGUGUGACCCCCCCAACUCCAGCUCCCUGGAGGCCAGUCUCUGGCAGGCUUACCUCUGCCUGCAGCUUCCCUUGUCAGGCGCAGGCUCCUGCCCCUGGGGCCUCCUGUUGGGGCUGCUUGCAGGAACUCAGCCCCACGCCAUGCUUUCCUAAACAGGCUUUCUUUGAAAUCUUAGUGGAAGCCUCGUGACCCUGUAAUCCCUGCAUGCGGCAUGUUGCCAUCCAGCAUCCCGUGAACACCAAGCCCGCACCAACACAGACCCUCAGGCACCUGAAACAUGACUGCAGCAGCCUCAGUGCUGGUGAGAAACUGAUUCCUGGUGGCUUUGGGCACAUCAGGCACCCAAGGCUCCUUUCUCAGACUGCCCUGGAAAGUUGGAUGCAGAUUCCUAUCUCCCCCUUUCUGAGCGACUCCUGGUUUAUUGUAUGGCUUCGGUGCAGAAAUAGCUGAUUUUUUUUUUUGGCCCUGCAUCCUUGCACUGUCCUGGGCUGCACUUGACCUACACUCCUCUCCCAUCCAAGCUGCAAAUCUCCCAAUCUUCCUCUUCACUCCUGACCCUCCCUGGUUUGUCUAAAAGCAGCAGGUGACACCCAUACUGAGGUCUGCCCAUCGCCUUGGAGUUUGGCCUCAGUGUAACCAAGAUGGCUUUUGGUCCAGUUCCUGAGUUCCUCAUUUCCACCUGAAAUGCCGCCCUUUGCCACCUGGGCCGCCCCCACCAGCACUCCUGGCUCCACAGCCCCCACCAUCACCACAAAGUUCCACAGACAGCUUCAGGCUUCCUCUGGCUGCUCCUCCAAAUUCUCCCAAACCUAAGUCACGUGUCAGGUAUCACGAUCCCCCAGACUGCCCCACCCCUCGGUACCAAAGCUGUGACAAGCUUUUCUUCACCACCACAAGAUACCUGAGGUGAUUAUAAAAGGGAAAGAUUCAUCUGGGCCCCUGGUUUCAGAGGUCUUAAUGCAGACUGGCCCUGCUGCUUUGGGGCUGUGGUGAGGCAGCAUGUCACGGGGUGUGUGUGUGUGUGUGGGGGGGGAGCCUCUAGGCCCUUGGGGCCAGAAGGCAGAGAGAAGGGAAGGGGCCAGGACCCCACAGGCUCCUUUGGGGCUUGCUUCCAGUAACACUGGGACCUCCCAAAAGGCCCCAUCUCCCAACAGUACCUGACUGGGAACCAAGCCUUUGCCACCAACAUUCAAGUACAGAACUCUCAAAAUUCAAAGGGAACCUUCAAACAGCAGGAGAGACCUGUCACAGACAAGGGCUCUCCAGGGAGAUUAAUGGCCGAUUCCCCGUCACAAUCACAGGGGCCAGAAGGUCUUGCUAAGUUGCCCAGGCUAUCCUUCCUUGAACUUGGGAUCCUCUCGCCUCAGUGUCCCAAGGCACCAGGAUUGCAGGUGUGUGCCCUGUACCUGGCAGGAAUGACACAUUAAAUGUGAGGAGUAAAAUACAUUAACCACCUGGGUGUGGUGGUGCACGCCUGUGAUCCCAGAGGUUCAGGAGGCUGAGGCAGGAGGACUGGGAGUUCAAAGCACCCAAGUGGGACUUACCAGCAUGAUUCGGGGGGUGGUUUGUAUCAGAAACCCACCAGAAUAGCAGACCACGCUGUGUGAGCAGAAGGGAAAAGCCACAGUCACUCUCAGUGGGCACAGAAAAGGCGCUAAUAACUGCUGGUGCCUUCCACCGUAGAAGGGGACCUUGCCAUGUCAUAGAGAUCUUAUGAGAAACCCACAGCUAACAUCAAGCUCAGUGGCAGAGACAGGGAAGAGGCCUGCUUCCCCACUGCCAUUCACUGUCACACUGGAAGGCCAGCCAGGCAGCUGUGGAGGAAAGGUGCAAAACUGUGUCUACCUACAGAUGAUAGAAGCCCAUACGUAAAAAAUCCCCCCAAGUUCCACACAAAAGCUGCUAGAACUGGUAAGAAAAUGCAGUGAAGUUGUAGGGUUUGAAAUCAAUGAACAACUCCACUGCAUUUCCAUGCACCAUCAAGAACAAUCUAAAAAGGAAAUUCCAGGGGCUAGGCUGUGGCUCAGCAGUAGAGCACUCUCGCCUAGCAUGUGGGAGGCACUGGGUUGGAUCUCUAGCAUCACAUAAAAAUAAACAGAUAAAAUAAA